GAAGUCAAAGCCUGCAGCAAAAUGCACGUUGGAGGCUACGCAGUGCGCCUGAGCGGCAACUUCAGGAGACUCAGAUGAAGCUGGGAAGGAUUAAACGCAC